AUCCUCCAAGGCUAAAUACUCCUGAUUGACCGAUAGUGAACCAGUACCGUGAGGGAAAGGCGAAAAGAACCCCGGCGAGGGGAGUGAAAAAGAACCUGAAACCGUGUACGUACAAGCAGUAGGAGCCUCUUUAUGGGGUGACUGCGUACCUUUUGUAUAAUGGGUCAGCGACUUAUAUUCUGUAGCAAGGUUAACCGUAUAGGGGAGCCGUAGGGAAACCGAGUCUUAACUGGGCGAAUGAGUUGCAGGGUAUAGACCC
rnacentral:rRNA from 1 species